AACGCACCUUGCGCUCCCUGGUAUUCCGGGGAGCACGCCUGUUCGAGUGUCAUAAAACUAUCAAGCAAGAUAGAUUUAUUUCUAUCUCUGUUUGGAUUUGGGCUCUGCUGCGUCAAUGCGGCUAGUCUUAAAUAUAUUAGCUGGUCCUAGUGAAGGUUUGGUUCUACUCAGCAUGAUAAUUAUCUGAUGUUGAGGACAGUCUCAGGACUGGCCAAGGCUCUCUUUGGAUUGCUUCUAAUCGUCUUUGGACAAUUAUUCAAUAUCUGACCUCGAAUCAGGUGGGACUACCCGCUGAACUUAA
rnacentral:misc_RNA from 1 species